UAGUCGCCGCGGUAAUACGAAGGGGGCUAGCGUUGUUCGGAAUUACUGGGCGUAAAGCGCACGUAGGCGGAUAUUUAAGUCAGGGGUGAAAUCCCGCAGCUCAACUGCGGAACUGCCUUUGAUACUGGGUAUCUUGAGUAUGGAAGAGGUUAGUGGAAUUGCGAGUGUAGAGGUGAAAUUCGUAGAUAUUCGCAGGAACACCAGUGGCGAAGGCGGCUAACUGGUCCAUAACUGACGCUGAGGUGCGAAAGCGUGGGGAGCAAACAGGAUUAGAUACCCCUGUAGUCCCUGUCUCUUAUAC
rnacentral:rRNA from 1 species